GUAAAUUUGGUAACUGAUGGAACCUGCCUCCUGUGUGAACGUGGACCCUGCUGUGUUCUGGCAUCCAUGUGGAGUCAUGAAGUCAUCGACUGGAAGAGAACCCAGGGUCAGAGCUGACAGUAAGGCUGGAGAAAUGGAUUCUGAAGCCGGUGGUGCUGGCUGAGAAUGUAGAGUUGGAGGAAUUUACACUGACUGAUGACUGGGGUCCCAAAGAGAGGAAGACAUCGGUGGUGACAGAGGCAGAUGGGCUUCCAGUUCCUUCCGCUGCUCAUGUGUGGAUCGUGUGUGGAUUGCUGCUGGGAAGGAGUGAGCCUUUCUGCCCGAUCUGCUUCUAUUUUUUUCAAAGAGGUGAG
ensembl:lncRNA